rnacentral:SRP_RNA from 1 species
CUGUACCGAGGGUUCGAAUCCCUCUCUCUCCGCCAUAAAAUUCAAGGCCGGUAUACGGCUUUUUGUUUUCUAGGCCGGACUGUAGCAGUGCCGGGUCUUACGCAAUAGGAACUCAUGAAUCGCGUCAGGUCCGGAAGGAAGCAGCGCUAAGUGAUACUUCUUAUGUGCCGUAAGGGUGCCUGGUAUCUGCUGUGGUCCGUCGUGGGAAACAAGGCCGUAUGGUACGC